UCAAAUACCAGUUAGUGAUAAGGUGAGA
rnacentral:sRNA from 1 species